rnacentral:rRNA from 1 species
AGCCUGAUGCAGCGACGCCGCGUGGGGGAUGAAGGCCUUCGGGUUGUAAACCCCUUUCAGCAGGGAAGAAGCGAAAGUGACGGUACCUGCAGAAGAAGCGCCGGCUAACUACGUGCCAGCAGCCGCGGUAAUACGUAGGGCGCAAGCGUUGUCCGGAAUUAUUGGGCGUAAAGAGCUCGUAGGCGGUUUGUCGCGUCUGCUGUGAAAACCCGAGGCUCAACCUCGGGCCUGCAGUGGGUACGGGCAGACUAGAGUGCGGUAGGGGAGACUGGAAUUCCUGGUGUAGCGGUGGAAUGCGCAGAUAUCAGGAGGAACACCGAUGGCGAAGGCAGGUCUCUGGGCCGCAACUGACGCUGAGGAGCGAAAGCAUGGGGAGCGAACAGGAUUAGAUACCCUGGUAGUCCAUGCCGUAAACGUUGGGCACUAGGUGUGGGGCUCAUUCCACGAGUUCCGUGCCGCAGCAAACGCAUUAAGUGCCCCGCCUGG